rnacentral:rRNA from 1 species
GAGUUGUUUGGGAAUGCAGCUCAAAUGGGUGGUAAAUUCCAUCUAAAGCUAAAUAUGGGCCAGAGACCGAUAGCGCACAAGUAGAGUGAUCGAAAGAUGAAAAGCACUUUGAAAAGAGAGUUAAACAGUAUGUGAAAUUGUUGAAAGGGAAGCGCUGGCCACCAGACUUGCGGGUGACGGUUCCCCCGGCCCUCCGUGGGCCGGGCCACUCCGUCACCUCCAGGCCAGCAUCGGUUCGGGUGGUCGGUCAAAGGCCCCGGGAAGGUAUCUACCUUUGGGUAGACUUACAGCCCGGGGCGUCAUACGGCCCACCCGGACCGAGGAACGCGCCCCCCCGUCGGGGCUCGGAUGUUGGCGUAAUGGUGGUCAGCGACCCGUCUUGAAACACGGACCAAGGAGUCUAACAUCCAUGCGAGUGUUUGGGUGUCAAACCCCGACGCGGAAUGAAAGUGAACGGAGGUGAGAUCCCCGCGAGGGGCGCAUCAUCGACCGAUCCGGAUGUCUUCGGAUGGAUUUGAGUAAGAGCAUGGCUGUUGGGACCCGAAAGAUGGUGAACUAUGCCCGGAUAGGGUGAAGCCAGAGGAAACUCUGGUGGAGGCUCGCAGCGGUUCUGACGUGCAAAUCGAUCGUCGAAUCUGGGUAUAGGGGCGAAAGACCAAUCGAACCGUCUGGUAGCUGGUUCCUGCCGAAGUUUCCCUCAGGAUAGCAGUAACGGCGACAGUUUUAUGAGGUAAAGCGAAUGAUUAGAGGCCUUGGGGUUGAAACAACCUUAACCUAUUCUCAAACUUUAAAUAUGUAAGAAGUCCUUGUUGCUUCGGUGAACGUGGACCGUCGAAUGUAUCGUUACU